UUAAGCGACUAAGCGUACACGGUGGAUGCCCUGGCAGUCAGAGGCGAUGAAGGACGUGCUAAUCUGCGAAAAGCGCCGGCGAGGUGAUAUGAACCUUUGACCCGGCGAUGUCCGAAUGGGGAAACCCAGUGUGAUUCGUCACACUAUCGUUAACUGAAUACAUAGGUUAACGAGGCGAACCGGGGGAACUGAAACAUCUAAGUACCCCGAGGAAAAGAAAUCAACCGAGAUUCCCCCAGUAGCGGCGAGCGAACGGGGAGCAGCCCAGAGUCUGAAUCAGCUUGUGUGUUAGUGGAAGCGUCUGGAAAGUCGCACGGUACAGGGUGACAGUCCCGUACACGAAAAUGCACAGGUUGUGAACUCGAAGAGUAGGGCGGGACACGUGGUAUCCUGUCUGAAUAUGGGGGGACCAUCCUCCAAGGCUAAAUACUCCUGACUGACCGAUAGUGAACCAGUACCGUGAGGGAAAGGCGAAAAGAACCCCGGCGAGGGGAGUGAAAUAGAACCUGAAACCGUGUACGUACAAGCAGUGGGAGCACCUUCGUGGUGUGACUGCGUACCUUUUGUAUAAUGGGUCAGCGACUUAUAUUCUGUAGCAAGGUUAACCGUAUAGGGGAGCCGAAGGGAAACCGAGUCUUAACUGGGCGUUAAGUUGCAGGGUAUAGACCCGAAACCCGGUGAUCUAGCCAUGGGCAGGUUGAAGGUUGGGUAACACUAACUGGAGGACCGAACCGACUAAUGUUGAAAAAUUAGCGGAUGACUUGUGGCUGGGGGUGAAAGGCCAAUCAAACCGGGAGAUAGCUGGUUCUCCCCGAAAGCUAUUUAGGUAGCGCCUCGUGAACUCAUCUUCGGGGGUAGAGCACUGUUUCGGCUAGGGGGCCAUCCCGGCUUACCAACCCGAUGCAAACUACGAAUACCGAAGAAUGUUAUCACGGGAGACACACGGCGGGUGCUAACGUCCGUCGUGAAGAGGGAAACAACCCAGACCGCCAGCUAAGGUCCCAAAGUCAUGGUUAAGUGGGAAACGAUGUGGGAAGGCACAGACAGCCAGGAUGUUGGCUUAGAAGCAGCCAUCAUUUAAAGAAAGCGUAAUAGCUCACUGGUCGAGUCGGCCUGCGCGGAAGAUGUAACGGGGCUAAACCAUGCACCGAAGCUGCGGCAGCGACACUAUGUGUUGUUGGGUAGGGGAGCGUUCUGUAAGCCGUUGAAGGUGGCCUGUGAGGGUUGCUGGAGGUAUCAGAAGUGCGAAUGCUGACAUAAGUAACGAUAAAGCGGGUGAAAAGCCCGCUCGCCGGAAGACCAAGGGUUCCUGUCCAACGUUAAUCGGGGCAGGGUGAGUCGACCCCUAAGGCGAGGCCGAAAGGCGUAGUCGAUGGGAAACAGGUUAAUAUUCCUGUACUUGGUGUUACUGCGAAGGGGGGACGGAGAAGGCUAUGUUAGCCGGGCGACGGUUGUCCCGGUUUAAGCAUGUAGGCGGAGGUUCCAGGUAAAUCCGGUACCUUAUUAACGCUGAGGUGUGAUGACGAGGCACUACGGUGCUGAAGUAACAAAUGCCCUGCUUCCAGGAAAAGCCUCUAAGCAUCAGGUAACAUCAAAUCGUACCCCAAACCGACACAGGUGGUCAGGUAGAGAAUACCAAGGCGCUUGAGAGAACUCGGGUGAAGGAACUAGGCAAAAUGGUGCCGUAACUUCGGGAGAAGGCACGCUGAUAUGUAGGUGAAGCCCCUGCGGGUGGAGCUGAAAUCAGUCGAAGAUACCAGCUGGCUGCAACUGUUUAUUAAAAACACAGCACUGUGCAAACACGAAAGUGGACGUAUACGGUGUGACGCCUGCCCGGUGCCGGAAGGUUAAUUGAUGGGGUUAGCGGCAACGCGAAGCUCUUGAUCGAAGCCCCGGUAAACGGCGGCCGUAACUAUAACGGUCCUAAGGUAGCGAAAUUCCUUGUCGGGUAAGUUCCGACCUGCACGAAUGGCGUAAUGAUGGCCAGGCUGUCUCCACCCGAGACUCAGUGAAAUUGAACUCGCUGUGAAGAUGCAGUGUACCCGCGGCAAGACGGAAAGACCCCGUGAACCUUUACUAUAGCUUGACACUGAACACUGGUCCUUGAUGUGUAGGAUAGGUGGGAGGCUUUGAAGUGUGGACGCCAGUCUGCAUGGAGCCGUCCUUGAAAUACCACCCUUUAAUGGCUGGUGUUCUAACGUAGACCCGUGAUCCGGGUUGCGGACAGUGUCUGGUGGGUAGUUUGACUGGGGCGGUCUCCUCCCAAAGAGUAACGGAGGAGCACGAAGGUUAGCUAAUCCUGGUCGGACAUCAGGAGGUUAGUGCAAUGGCAUAAGCUAGCUUGACUGCGAGAGUGACGGCUCGAGCAGGUGCGAAAGCAGGUCAUAGUGAUCCGGUGGUUCUGAAUGGAAGGGCCAUCGCUCAACGGAUAAAAGGUACUCCGGGGAUAACAGGCUGAUACCGCCCAAGAGUUCAUAUCGACGGCGGUGUUUGGCACCUCGAUGUCGGCUCAUCACAUCCUGGGGCUGAAGUAGGUCCCAAGGGUAUGGCUGUUCGCCAUUUAAAGUGGUACGCGAGCUGGGUUUAGAACGUCGUGAGACAGUUCGGUCCCUAUCUGCCGUGGGCGCUGGAGAAUUGAGGGGGGCUGCUCCUAGUACGAGAGGACCGGAGUGGACGCAUCACUGGUGUUCGGGUUGUCAUGCCAAUGGCACUGCCCGGUAGCUAAAUGCGGAAAAGAUAAGUGCUGAAAGCAUCUAAGCACGAAACUUGCCCCGAGAUGAGUUCUCCCUGAGACUUUAAGUCUCCUGAAGGAACGUUGAAGACGACGACGUUGAUAGGUCGGGUGUGUAAGCGCAGCGAUGCGUUGAGCUAACCGAUACUAAUGAACCGUGAGGCUUAACCUU
rnacentral:rRNA from 1 species